rnacentral:rRNA from 1 species
GUGCUCCGCAUUGGUACCUCUAUCUCGGUAGGGUCCGGCCUCUCGACGCUCUUCUGGUUUGACCGAUGGGCCGGCGACUCCCCCUUUGCGGCUCGCUUCCCCAUCCUCUUCUCUAUCUCUGUCGACCCCAUGAUUUCUGUUGAUAGGGCCCUUAUUGACUUAGGGCGCCUCGCUUUCCGUCGGCCAUUUGGGCCUGCGGAAUCCGCUGCCUAGCGUGAGCUGCUUGAUUGCGUCGCUCUGCAUGAGCCGCUGGUGGAUGGAGCCCAAGACCGUGUGCGUUGGCACUUGGAGUCGUCGGGCCAGUUCUCUUCCAAAUCGCUCUACAUGGCCAUUGCCCCCUCCUCCGCUCCCCCCCCCCUCUUGAUGGUAUGGUCCGUUCGUCUCCCACUGAAGAUCCACAUCUUCAUGUGGCAGUGGAUCCGUGGACGGAUCCCAUCCGGUGUGGAGGUCCGCAAGCGUAAUGGCCCAGGCACUGGUAUCUGCCCCCUCUAUGCUGUCCCCGAGGACUCCAACCACAUCUUCUUCGCGUGCGCCUCCGCCCGGUUCCUCUGGAGCUGCUUCCGCGAGAUUGUCAGGGGGGGUUGGACCCACACCAACUUCCCCGACUUAUUUGCUGAACUCCAAACGUCCCCCUCGUCCUCCCGCCACAUUAGGUGGCUGGAGGUUGGGGUCCUUGCCUGGACUCUUUGGACUGUUCGUAAUAAGCUUGUGAUCGAGCGUACCCCUCUCCGUCGUGCUACUGACGCUCUCUACAAAUUCUCGGGUUUCCUGCAGCUUUGGCGGCCGCUUAGCCGUCCCCUGGAGCGCAACACCAUCUCUGCCUUCAUCGCCGAUCUUCGCUCGAUGACCGUCCGCCUUUCGCCACCGCCGCCGCCGCCGCCGCCGGAGCCUGACUAA